rnacentral:rRNA from 1 species
CACCGCCCGUCGAUCCAUUGGAGUUGGUUGCAAAACAAGUAGGUAGCUGAACCAUCGGGAGGGCGCUUACGACAUUGUGAUUCAUGACUGGGGUGAAGUCGUAACAAGGUAACCGUCGUGGAACCUGCGGUUGGAUCACCUCCUUA